AGGAGGAGCAGCCCCAGUGGCGGGGCAGCUCUGGAAACCUGGAUUCAGCUCCGGCAGGAGCUCCGUCUGCAGGGCCUGGAGGCUCCGGGGCGGG
rnacentral:pre_miRNA from 1 species